rnacentral:lncRNA from 1 species
UCAAGAAAUACAUAAUGAGUGACUUCUUAAUUUCCUCUCAAAAUAACUACAACACAAGCUAAUUCUUUGACUCGUCAUUAUCUAAAAACAAAUGCUUCAUAGUCCAAUACAAGGCUUCUAACCUAUUCAGUCAGAUAUUUUCCUUUCUAUAUGAUAAUGAGAAAUGCUAUUUCAAUUAUCAUAGAUCACAUGUUCAGUGACUAUGCCACGAGUAAUUAAGGCAUUUCAAACAUUCUGAGCUCCUCUUAGACCAUGUUAUAAUGGGCCGCCAAAAGUUCUAAGUAAUGUCGAGAGAGAGAGAGAGAGAGAGAGUCCUUGACGGUAAGUAAGGCAAUCACUACGCAUGACAAAAAUCCAACAUCAUAUAUAAAUCUUUGCAUGAUUGUCACUCCCAUGAAAUAAGAGCUUGAGACACUACAAUUAACAUUGAGCAAGCAAUUUCCUAGUACAAGGGUUGGCCAAAUUAUUGUUUCACUUACACAUUUUAAUUGUCAAAAAAAAGUUACAUGAUGCAUAUAUCUAUAGCCAGAAAAGUGGAAAUUGAGGCUGUCUCCAUGAAUGCAAGAUCAUGUUGCAGUAAUGAUCAGGAAGGAAAAGCAAAUUACCUAAGUUAUGUUGUUGCCAUCGGACUUGCCUUAUUUACCUUUGGAUAUUUAAUCCGCAGGCUACUGUAUUUUAGGAUUUAAUCUAAAACACCAGUUACUAUAAAGGAAUCAUUCUUCUAUGAAGAGGAUGAAUGCAAUUGAUAAAUCUAAAAGGUAUGUGUCUCCAUCUAAAAACUACAUAAGGAAAUACUUUUUUCCACCGUCGGAAACAAAGUAAAAGUUCAAAAUUGUUUUCAUUAUGCUUAAACCCUUAUCAAGCUCUACUCGAGUGGCUUAGAGACCUACUGAAAUGUCCUUUUUCACUACAUGCAAAAAUUACAAAGUGUCGUGGUUUUAACUUAAAGGUGAAGCAUAAAGCUAUGCUACAACAUGUUUGUUUUGGAGUUGAGCCAAACAAAAAGCUCCUUUUGAGUUUUCCAUCAUAAUGAAAAUAUACCGUAAAGAAUUAUGGAAGAUUUUUUAGGCGAAUUACAUAUAUGUACAUGUAUAUGUAUACUUUUUUAGCAUUUGGGACAUUCUACGUUGAAUAAAAGUUAAUGCUCAAAAGCCAAAGCAAUGCCAAAAACCCAGCAAGAGGGUUGUUAGCAGUGUCGCCUUUAGCUUUCGGUUUUCAGGUAAAAAUUCACGCUUAUAUUUUCUAUUAAUCGCCUCAAAUAUUUAUAUUACUAGCAUCUAAAUCACCUAAAACCUUUUCAUAACAAAUUACGCACCCCCAAGAAGACAAAAUGCACACUCCUUAGGCAAAACAUACAAAAUCUUAUGUGCUAGAUAAUGUCUUUUUGUGGUCGUUAGUGUAGAAAUAACAAAUGAUCGUGUGCCCCUAGGAUUAUGUGUACCAGUUUCGCUAACAUUUUGCAUAUCUAGCAUCACUCUAAUAAAAAUAAUGUCGACCAUGCAGAAAGACCUUGUCAUCAAAUCAAAUCUGUUAUUGUGUAUGCUCAACAAUGUUUCAUAAUUUUAUAAUCAGAUUUCAGACAGAUCUUCGUUUCCAAGGCUCAACCUGCAAAGAUGAGACUUGUGAAAUAAAACCGUAAGUAGCAUAAAACAAGUGGUCAAUGAGGUUGCAAUAUUUGACAGAAACUAAGAGGAAAAACUCCAUGGUACAUACAAACACCGAGAAGACCUUGCAUUAAGAAAAACUAAAAAAUUCAAAUAAAUCUCACUUAUUCUAAAUAAAAGAACUUGAUGAGAUUAGAGACUUGCAUUAAGCACAUUGAAGAGAGUAAACGAGAAGGACACACCAAAGGGCAGGACAAUAACUGAUGAUCCUCUACAAAAUCUCCUAUGCCCGUUGCACUGAAUAUAAACUAAAGUAAGUAAAAUGGAGAAUAUCUUCGUGCCAAAAAUUGCCAUGUCAAUUAACCGCACAAUGAGUGUGUUGGCAAAAAGUGCACAAUCGUCCCGGCACAUGUAAAUUCAUCAACUGAACCGAUUUUGAAACUGAGUGUAAACUUGUAUAUAAACAGAUGGCUCAAAAGAAGAUGCUGAGUUAUAAAUGGACCUCUAGGCUGCCUUGAGGUUCACACACAUGCGCAACAAAGCAUAAGUCAAACCUACAAAAGAUUCUCUUGAGCACAUAAUGGUAGACCACAGAUUAUGAACCAAAAAUAGUGCGUUUUGAAAUUUAUUAAUUGUGCCUGCAACUGAGAGAACCCCUGCUAGUAGAUCAUCCAAAAUUGAGAUGUUGCACCCCAUUAUAAUGUGUAUUGGGAAGCCAUUGGAUGCGAGAUGAACAUAUAGAAGAAUUAUUUGAACAAUCUUUUUUCUACUCAUAUAUACAUAUAUACAUGUGUAUCUACAUAUAUCCAACUAUGAAUGAGAUGCCAUAGGUAUAAUUGAUCAGUUCCUAAGAGCGUGGAGAGAAAAAGUCCACCUUGGACCUUAAAAAAUCAGCAAAAGCUACACAUAUGAAUGCAUUCAAGAGUAGAAUAAAAGGAGGCAAUUUAAAUAGAAUUUGUCAAAGAAAGUGAGUGAGCAUUUACGCUCAACUGAUCCAAACCCUAAAUAUACAGAAACCCUAGAUCAAAUUAACCAUUGCCAACUCAUAUCUACUAACUGCGAUUUCAAUGAGCACGCAUAAGAAAUUUUCUUUUUAGUUCACGUAAGUUAUUCCUAUUGUGCUUUACCCAUCAGAGAACCAAAUAUUAUUUCUAGAAAUUUGACAGUUGACAUGAAAAAUCCCCCGAGUUUUAGCCAUUUUGAAUGAACCACCGAUUUGUAGUUCAUGUAAAACUGGAGGACAAGCAUUUCCAAUUCCCAAGAUAACUAUAAAAGUGCAAUACGAAAGGCCAACACAGAACUACUAAAUAGUCAUUAAUAGUACAUAGGAGAAUGCACGAGAACAAAGAGAAAACCACAUUAUACACACAAAUUCCGAGAAGAGAGAAACGGCAGUAACAGUUGUUGUGCCAUUCUUCUUCAUUCCAUGAAGAGAAACAUCGUACGUUAAUUAAGAAAAAAGCCUAGCACUCGCACAAAAGCAAAGUUAUAUAACCGAGAACGAAAGGCAUGAGAAGCAUAUUAACCCGAAAGCAAAAGCACACUCUAAGAAGAAGAACAAAGAAACCACCAUUUUGAAAACCGAGCUCUUCCUAGUUCCCAUACGCAUCUUCAUAGUUCACACGCAUGGGGGUUAAACAUGAAAACCAAAUAAAAAUGGGGAAAGAAAAAGGACGACUUCCCCAAAUCGAGCUCGUGACUGUUUCCAUGUAAAAGGUCGAGUCAGGAUUAUAUCCCAAACCUUUAAAGGCACUAGUUAGGGUCGCAAAUAAGAUGAUAGAUAAAUUAGUACCAGAAUCAGAAGGAACACCAAGAGUAAGGGCUUUGAAUUGGCACUCGAUCCUCUGGAGGAAGAGCAUGGCCUCUUUGAAGGGUUUGGAGAGUUCUUGCUCGUACUUAGUCAGCAUCUCACAGUAGGCCUCCAUGAACUGGUCAAGAGCUGGGUCUUCACCAAUGCAACCUGUGUUGCUCAUGCCGCUGUUCCCGGCCAUUAUCGCAGCCGAUGCACACGCUUCCUCUAGCUUUGCCACCACGCCAGGCGGAGCUCCCACCUAUAUGUAGGUAAUAAUUUAACGCCAUAGUAUUACAACACUUCUUAUAGAAACUGUCGGGAUCUUCUUGUCGAGAUCGCCCGAAAGGGUCUCCAAAGAAUCCCCUUCGGACUUCAGAGUGUCUCCUUCCAUAUUGCUAAACAACAACCCGCGCAGGUAUGACUAUAUAUUAUACAAGAAAGAGAAGGGAAAAUAAAUUGUUUAUCAGGGAAGUAAUGAACUACGUUCUUCGAGAUAUGACUGCCGUCGGCUUUCACAAAAAAUUUCUUCAAAGGGAAAAAAUGCAAAAGAAACAACAACUCUAACCCUAUCAAGUCGCGGUCGUCCCAGUUUGACUAAAUUAACACCCAUAAAGAAAUAAGAAAAGGAAAAGCCAUGCUUGAGUGUGACAGAAAGAACUCUUUUUUUUCCCCUCCUCGGGUCCUUAUCUUUUCUCUUUAGUUGUUUUUGAGGAGACAAUUAGCUUCUUUUCUCACUGGUAUGAACAUCUGAACAAAGAACGAGCAUAGCCAGAGAGCGGGCGAGAGAAAGUAGGGUUUUUCGCUUUUCUUUCACCUUCUGACAAUUGACAUAAGCUGAGAGAAGGCGGUGGUAGUGAGGAUGAGCCAUGAUCUUGGCCUUGACAUCGUUGUCCAUGAAGAAACAACCUGAGCCUGAGCCUGAACCUGAACCACCCGCGUUGUUGUUGCUAUUGUUGUUGCGGUCGUCAAGAAUCGGAGAAGAACCGCUGCUGCUAUUACGAGCUGUUUGGUCAAGAAAGUACUGGUGGGUGCUUGUGUUUAGGUUUUGAUGAUGGUGAUGGUGAUGAUGAUGAUGUUGAUGAUGGGGAUGGGGAUGGGAUGAUGAGGUGAUGGUGUUGAUGGGCAUCAUCGUCAUCAUCAUUGGGCAUAGCCCAUCACCACCACCACUGUGGUGACCGUUCUCUCCAAAAGCCAUCAAACAGGAAGGCGAAUUAGUGCUGUUUGAACCGCCCUCCAUUCCACAGUGUAUGGCCUAAUGCAAAACCCUUUUCCCUCUGUCUCUCUCUCCCCCUCUAGAGAACGAAAGGGUGAUGAUGAGAUCCUUUAUGUGUGUGAGUUUUAGCUCCUUUAAAAAGACUGAGUGGGAGUGAAACAAACAACACCCAGUUUGGUCUCCCGAGUUUUGUGCUUACACAAAGUUCAGGCCUUUUCACAGAAGAAAGAGAGAAGGGGAAAAAAGCAAAAAUCCAUCAAAUAGUGGCCCUCCUUUCUAGUGGGUCGUCAGAUUGAUACAUGCACUAAUAUCAGCCCUCUCUCUCUCUCUCUCUCUCUCUCUUUCUCUGAGGGCGUAGCCUGCUCAAAAUAUUUUUCUUUCGAGAAUGGGGGAGUGUUCUUUAACCUUUCUUUCACUGCAUCAUCGUCUCUCUCUUCCUCUGUCUGCUCAUUCACAGCAUUAAUCUCUCUCUCGUCUUCCUUUUUCUUUCUCUCUCUAUCUCUGUGUGGGCGGUUUUUGAUUGAGAGAGAGAGAGAGAUGAAAAUGCACGCGUUUUGGGUAAGAGGAAGGAGAGGGAUUACUUAUCUUGAGGGACUUUUUAUUACCUUCCCGAUGAAAACUCUCUCUCUCUUUCUCUCUCUAUGUUUGCCAGUCGAAAAUGGCAGUGUAUCAGUGGCAGUGCAAGAAAAGAGGGAGAGAGGGAGAGAGGGAAUUUUUUUCUUUACGGAAAUUAAUAAAAGCAAAUUACGAGGAGAAAGGAGGGGGAGGGCGGGGGGAGAGAGAGAGGAACGAUCAAAUCGAUGGAAGAGCCAAAGAAGAAACAGGGAUAAACUAUUCAUGGAUGAUGGAGGGGAAAGGUUCCUUGGGCACGAAAGAAUCACACACAAACUCUCUCUCUCUCUCUCUCUCUCUCUCUCUCUGUUUUUUUUUGUGACAGGGGUGUUUCUUCCAUCUGGGGUUUUGAUUUUGCAAUCUGCUGUCCACUCAAUUAAUAUUCUUUCUCACUGCUAAAUGUUGUCUUCUUCCAUCCCCCGAGAUUUGUAUUCUCUUCUUCUUUUCCUUUUAAGAUGGCCUCUUUUCGUGUGAUCUUCUCCUGUGUUGGAGCGGCUGUGUACUUGGAGGGUUUCUUUCUACAUCUAGUAACGUGGUUUUUGGUUAGGAUGCAACCCAUUGUUUUUUAUAGUAUUGACUUUUGAGGGCCCUCGAAAUUUUUUUGAUUCAAUGUGAUAGAUACAGUGAACCGAUUUAUAAUAUAAUGUGUUCUAUAUAUAUAUGGAUGUCCAUUGAUUAUCUUACCAACGGUCUCCUCCUAUGGAAUUUUAGAGGAGUCUUUCCUAAGGCCUCACGGCCAUUUAGAAAUAUACGAGUUCAAUAACGAAUGUUGCUAGACACUGAAACAUUCAGGAAAUUGUUUGCAUAUACAAUCAUGAAAUACCGACGAGUGAAAAUGACUAUCACUUUAUUCGAUUACAUCUAUAUCGAAAAUAAUCAAUUCUAUUGAUGUCUCUUUUACUGAUCUUAAUCAAAACUGAGAACAAUAUUAUGAUGGCUCCUCCAUUUGCACACUUUACAGUUUCUUGUCCAAACUCCAACAUCUUGAAAGCUACCCUACUUUGAGGAAUGAUAUUAGCACGUAGUGUAAGAUUAUCUUGAAAUUGUGAUCUCAGUGGUUUUUUUAUAAUAUAAUUGGUAAUACAUACAUUCUAUUAUCUUAUGUUAGUUUAUUAAAUUUUAUCAUCAAUUUGAUGAAUUGAAUAACACGUGACAGUUAAUAAAUAUAUCAAUUUGAGAUUUUAUUCUCCGUUUGUCACAAGUGUACUAUUUAAUGAUUUUUUUAAUCCAAUUUAACGAAAAUUUAAGGCUUUUAGUAGUUAAAAAUUAGUUUGAAAUAAAUAUGUCACAUAUGUACCAAUUUGUGAUUCUUUGUUGUAAAUAAAUUAAUUUGGGAUAUAUUUGUUAUAAGUAUACUAGUUUUAGAUUUUUCGUGAUAUUAACUCUUUAACUUAUAUAUACGACAUGCUUAAACCACUCGAGACUUAUAGAUUGGAUAAGUCAAUGAGCACCAAACCUAUUUAACUAGUAACUAAGAAAAUGUAAUUAUCCAAUUUAAUAUGUUACCAGACAUAUUAGGAUACAUUUAUAUAAAUUUAUACUUGCACAAGUACAUUUUACAUGUUUAUAUAUGAGUAAAAAUAUCUCAAACGUGCCAUGUUUGGAGAACCUACGCACGAUUCUACGGGAUUAUAGCAUGAAAAUAAGGAUCAUCAACCUAAUUCUAACUGAACGACAAUUAAAUGGAAUCUCAAAUAAGAUAUCUCUGGUCCAUUACAUAACAUUAUGAACAGAGAUACUCCUAUUUUUAAGGGUGUUUUUCCCAAGUGCCUCGAUAACCUAAUCUUGGGAAAGAAAAUUUACGGAGGGAUGGAUGCAAUAACUACAGAAUAGUUGAACAAGAAGAAUCUCAUGAUAAGCGUUGCGUUGACAAGUUCGCAAUGUCUUUUAAAAAAUAACUUUUAUUACUUUCAGUUUCUUUCCAAGCUCCAGAGAUGAAAAUAUGUACUUGAUAUAAUCAUGUGAAAAAACUAAAUAACUCUGUUCCCUGCUUCGUCAUUUAAUAUUAGGCGUUCAAUAUAAAAACAAAAUCAAAUUUCACGUGCUAUCAAAAAAAUAAAAUAAAAAACACAAAACAGAAUUACAAGAAUACUGACACCAUCUUCACCUGAGAUUUGAAAAGAGAUGGAUCACACUCAUUAUUAGUCCUCUCUUCUCGUAGCAUUCCACCUUUGCAAUAAUUUACCAGGGAAAAGGAAAGGGUGGGGUUUCAGCUAAAGGAAAAAGCUGAUAAAGCGAGUGGGACACUCCGAAUGUCUCUUCAAUCUACCUAUUCUUCUACACUCCUUAUAGUUAUAGCCUGUCCUUCCCUUUUCUUCAUUCUUUUUCAUUAUCAAUUCGUCUUCUGUCUCAUGUGAUGAUACAGGUAUAUCAAUAAGUUGGAAAAGCUCUUGAUGCAAGUGCCCCCAAAAAAUGUCAUCCAGCUUGAUAGAAAUUUAUUCUAAAAAAAUUAAGAGAUUGCACGACUUUAAAGUUCCGAUAAUUUCACCGACAGUGUCGCAUGCAAAUCAAACUAAGAAUGACAUAUAAAAAUAAAUAAAAUACUAUGUAGAAUUAUUAUUAACUAGUUCAAAAAGUUUUUAUUGCGUGAUUUAAUAUUUAAAUAUUACGACACUUUCUAUUAAGUUUAGGUUGGGAUUUCAACUAAAGUUAGGAUCUCUAAGUUUGAUGCCCUCCGGAAAUAAAUGAGAAUACUGUUGACUACAUGAAACAUUAAGGCAUUGAUAAAGAGAGACUGUAUGUAUAGAAAAUCCAACCAAAUUUCAUAGGCAAGUGUUGUGGGAUGUUUUAAUAGAACUCGUCUAAUGUUGUUUUUAAGUUUGCAUUGAACCCAUAAUACAAGGAGAAUUACUAGAUCAAUUCUAAACUUAUUAUAUAAAUUCCAAUUUAGUCUUAAAACUUAAUUUUCGUUGGAAAUUGAUGACAUGUCUGUGUGUUACAUAGGAUGAUCGACAAUGACUAACCGUCAAAUUAACGAUUUUCAGUUAAAAUUAGCUAAAGUGAUUAUAUUAGAAUUUCGCAUGAAGGUUUAAGACUAGAUUAGCAAAAUUGGAAAGCUUAAAACUGAAUUUGUAUUUAUACGACGUGUUUAUGAUUGAUUUGAUAGUUUCCCCCUACAAUACAUAUAAGACAACUUACUUUUGCUCAUUGAGUGUAAAUAUCUAAAGCGCUAUUUUGCAAAUUUGAUUGCAAAUAUCUAAAUCGAUCCUGAUGGAUAAUUUGUAAUUGAUCGAAGUAAAAAGAGAAUAAUCCAAAAUAUCAUAGAAAUUGAUCCUGCCUUAUAUCAUGUCAUAAUGGAAAGUCUUUUCACAUUUAGAUCUAAAGAAAGCACAUACAUACAUCAUAAUCUAUAUAGGAUAUGAUUGACUCCUACUAUACCUGAUAUAAUUGACUUUGCCUACAAAAAGUUACAUAGUGGAACACAAAGCAAUAAUUACGCGGUGGAAAUAAGUAUCUUGAUAUAUUUUAAUCUAUUAUCAUUCAAAAUAUCUUUAUGUCUAUCUAUUUGUAUCCAUUAGGAAAGCUCGCUUUUGCACAACAUGGGCAUUAAAGGUGAAUAUUAACCAAUAGAGAAGUGUUAUCUUUUCUACUAUAUAAGAACUCCAAAUUAUUCUUUGGAAACUUCUCAUUUUCAUCAUUAAUGAUCCACUCGCCAUGAAACAACACAUCCCAAUAGGGAAAUCCCAAUUCAAUUGACCUAUCGUUACAAUCAAAUAGAUGGACGAAAACUUUGAGAGAACCAUUUUAAAAUAUCAAUAUAGUGAUAAAUAUUGCAUUUAUCUAAUGUUUCAAGUGAUGAGUAGUAAAAUCAUCUCCACAAGAAUGAGAAAAUAUUCAUACUUACGAAUCAUGCGUGGUAAGUGUUAUGUAAUAAAGAGAAAAAAAAAAAUCUACAAUAAGUAGGAGAAUAGACCGACCGGUGUGAAACGAUAGUACAAAAUUCUAUAAUCUCUCUUUUUAAAUAUUUAAAUAAAAAAAAAUCGAAGAAGAAAAUGCGCCAACUAAGUGUAUCCUCGAGUUCUACAAAUUCUAGCUGAAUUGGCAAUUAGAAAACGUGCCAUAAUACAUUCUGUUUCUUACUCUAGGCUUCCGAUUCCCAAGAGACAAAUAUUAAAACUCUAUUUUGCAUGUAAGGGAAAAUUAUAAAUAGUUUAUGAGCUUUAAUUCAAAAUAUAAUACCAUUAUGGACUUUUAAUUUAUUUAAUGUUGUUAUUGAACUAUUAAUAAGUGUUUGAUGUUAUCGUUCUAUUUGCUCAAAUAACAUAUCAAGUGUUAUUCGAUGACAUGAAUUAUUAUAUGUUAAGUUGGCAUUUUAAAAUGAUGAGUUAACAUGUCUAUCAUUUUAUCAAUUUAAUUUAGUGAAGUAAAAAAAAUAAAAAGAAGAAGAAUAAAUUUCACAUUGACUUGAAUUAUUGUAUCUAAAACUGAAAUAAAUAUCUUACCUAAAUGGCCCGCAUAUAAUAUUUUUUUAUUGUUCACCAUUCAAACUUAAUGUCCAUCAACUUGGAUUAAUAAAAUGAUGGCAUUGAACAUUUUCAUAUAAUUUAUAAGUUAAAUUGAACAUUUACUAAUUUUUGUAAGGAUUAUAUUAAAUAAAUUAAAAUUUCAGAAAUGACAUUGUUUCUAAGACCAAAAUGCAGAAACUAUUUGUCUCGCGUAGCAUAGGAUGGUCAUCGUGCUAGCUUCUGUUCACCAGCUCAUCGGACGAGUAGGUUCUUCUUUAAUGAAAGCUUUGAUUAAAUUAAUGCUGGAACCACACGCACACAAUUAUGUCUCCCAGAAUGGCAUUUGUAUGGACUUUAUGUAAUGACUUUCUUUUUCGCUUUUGCUCCCCAGUCAUUUAUCAUCUUUUUCGAUUUUGCCCACUUUAGUUUUUUUCUUUUUUUUGGGUCAGAAAUUGAAACAUUUAAUUAAGUAAGCAAAGAUGAGAAGCCUUGUAAAUGGGCUUCAUUACAUAAAAGAUCCAACAAAGUUUGUGGAGGGGACAAGAUUCAAUUUAGAGGUAAAUAAUUUUUCUUAUGGGCUUUAGCUAUCCAGUCUGCAAUAAGAUUUGACUCUCUAGAGCAAUGGAUUACCUGGGCAUUUGAGAAGGCCCACAUUUUUUCCUUACACUUGCUGACCAUAGGUUAAAUUUUCCAACUUAACUACUAUGAACUGUUUAUCUCUUUAACCAGUUGAGAACUAUUUGACUAAAAAAUAAGGACUUCAUGUUUUUUAGGGAAGAAAAAGUUGAGGGCUUCCCAUAACGCUAGGGUUUCGGCCCCCUUUAGUUUACUUUUAUUUGAUAAUAUUAUUAUUAUUAUUUUGAGAUGACAAUGCUUUUAUGUCGUGGCUGGGCGACCGAUUUAUAUUUUGUGAAGGUUUCACUUUCACAUGUGUCAAAUCUGCGCACACUAAAUCUUUUUUACUCUGAACAGUGGUGUUGAAAACGUCAAAUCUAGGUAUACACGGUCGAAAGGUAAAACCAUAGCAACAUAUAAAAAUCUUAAUGUGUGCUUAGUAUUAAAGACAAAUUCAAUAAUUAGCCGCCCAUUUUGAUACAAAGAAAUCACAAAUCUACUUUUGAGCAUGACUUUAAAUCUUAUUAUGACGAUUCAUUUUCUUAUAUAGAUUUUUUUUUGAAUUUGUCUAAGAAUUAUCUUUGUCUGCAGUUGAAUUAUGUUUCUCUAUUGUAUAUUCAUGGAAAUGAAUGAGAUGCUUUUUCGAAAAAAAUAAAUUAUCAUCGACUAUAAUACUAUUAAAUGAUGAUUAUAUUCUUAAGUUAUGCAUUACAUCCUACUUAUGUUUAUAUUCCCUAGAUUAAGAUGAGAGAAAUCUAUAUAGACAUGAUAUAUUUAAUGUAGAUAAAGUCAGAUCCUUGGUACUAGUUAUACCUAUUCAAAUUUUGCGUUGCUAAUUUUUUCGAAAUUAUAGUUCCCUGACAAACAACAAAAAUUCCUUUUAUAAUCUUUCUUUUUCUUUUUUUUUUUGGUAGAAUAGAGCAGUUAUUUGGUUAGCUUUGAGUUGCGUUUUAUUUAAUUUCUCUUUGAAAGUUCUCUUUUGAUAUAGACAAGGGCAUGGCAUAAGCAAAUGCAAAAAGAAAAAUAUAAGAACACAAUAGAUUAUUUAAUGAAAUUGGUCUACAAGUUGAGCUAAAAAGUAAUAAAGAUUUCCGCUUAUUUCUUUAUCUACAAAUGAGAGACAUCGACGUUUUAGACCAUUAUUAGAAUUGUCUUUUUUUUUUCCUUACAUAGCAAUGAUUUUUUUUUUCUAUAUUUAACUCCAUCCCCAAUUUUGGAGUAAUCUACUAAUAUUGGAGUGAAUAAUUGAUGAUGAUGCUCUGAAAAAAGAACAUGCACCUUUGAAAGAAUAAGGACAUUAACAAUAGUAAUUCUGAAGAUUACCACCAAUAUCAAUUAUCUCCAUACUUUUAAACUACUUUUGCAUAAUAGGCAGACCUAAAAGCUAGUUUCAGACAGUUCGCAUCAAUUGUAUUUUGCUUGUUUUUGAUACUUUUUCUUCGAGUCUUGAUAUGAAUUUACGUCAUUUUAAAAUUUAUAGAGAUAUAAAUAUUGUGAAAGCUUUUAAAAUCUUUCAAGUUAAAUUAUAAAUUCCACAAAAUGCACGAUAAAUCAAAAGUCAAAAGGUAAAAGAUUUCUGUCGCGAUGUACUCAUUCUUAAUCAAUUUGAUUGAUGAUAAAGGAUUGAUGAAAUUGGGGGAGAGAGUGGGCAGAUGCCGAGUCCACUAUGUGGAGCAGCAUCAUAAUAAAGCCAUUCCCCACACUGUCCCUACGCCCAAGACCCCUAUAUCACCCCUACGAGGCUACGACUAGCCAUGUUCUCAUUAUAUGUCGGAUUCUUUCCCCUAUUUAUUUAUUGUUGAUAUUUAUUGCUUCCGUGAGCUCUAUGUUAUUUCUUAUUUGUUCACCAGCCAAAAAAUUGCAAAAGAAAAAGAAAAAAUCUUUGCAACCUUAAGGGUUGUAUAUUUCGCGAAAAGUUUGCAAUUGAAAAUUUCAUUUCCUUCAUUUUUUUAACAUUUAGACCACUUAAAACAAAUCAACAAUUUUUUUUUUUAUAAAUAAUGAAAAACUUGUGUUCAAACCCACGAAAAUACUCCCUUUUGAAAGUGACAUGCCGUUUUUCAACAUAUGACUAUGUUGAAUUAGUCGAGCCCUACAAUAAUUUCAAGAAGAACAUAAAGAAGUGUUUAGUAAAACAUUGUUUUUUUCAUUUAUAUAUUGGAUCUCCACACAAGAAAAUGACACAUUUGAAAAAAAAAAUUACUAAAAAUGCUCAUGGCUUUUGGCAUACUCAAACAUAAAUAUCUUUUUAAGGUAACAGCGUAGAAGUUUGUCUCAUCUAUAAUAUAGAUAUAAUUUCUUCGUGGGAACCAGUUCAGGCCAAAAACCUCCUCUAGAGUUUCUUUAAUGAACAAUGUAGAUGAAUAAAUUUUUCUCUACAAUGCAUCUACAUAAGCUUGGUCCAGUGUAUUAAUUUUAAAAAUAUUUAAUGUCUACUGUUAUUGAUAUUAGAAAUUAUAACAAUUUAAAUAGAAUAUGAGAGGAUGAUUCACCGAGACAUAGAGAUAAAUAAAGAAUAUUUGAUUCAUGUAAGGCAAUUAAAAAAUAAGAUCAGCAUUAGGAGGGGAUGGACUUAUUUAUCACGUUGAUAUUUUUAUUGAGAUAUUACGUAUCGACAAAUAUUUAAUAAUUUUUAAUGGAAGAAAACUUUCAAUAAACUAGACGAGGCUAGGGCCUAAUCCUCAAAUUUAAUGGAAAAAUUUGGUUGUUAGGUUGUCUCAUUUUGGGAAUUUACGAACUGGUGCAUAGAUCUGUUCAAAAAAAAAAAAAAAGAACUGGUGCAUAGAUUUUUUUUUUUUUCCCCUUUCUAGGGUUUCCUCUGCUUUUUCAUUAGUCCUUAGUCUGUUUUCUUAAAAGAGAGUAGAUGGACAGAAAGAAUAUGCAGGUAGAACCUGCACUAGUAACAUGAAGUAAUUAAUUUACUCAGAAAAGUAGAGCUAGGGCUAGCGUGUGUUUAUGGGUACAUUUUAGAUCAGUUGUCACGAAGAGGUUGACGAGGGUUUAUAUCGAUCUGACAGACUCCAGUUACCCGAGAACAAAUUUUUCUAAAUUCUCCUUUUUCUGAUAGUGCGAGUGAGUAAUAAUUUGAUUUUCCUUUCUUUUUUAAUUAAAGUUUGUGUGGUGGGGGUGUGUGCAAUCAUCUGUACAGCUCUACACGUACCCAUACUGAUCAUUAUCGCAUGCAAACAAUUUUGGCAUUAUGUAUAAAAACCCCGAAAUUCCGCAGGUUAGAGGAAACUACUGCAAUUGGUUCUUUUCUUUUUUUAAAUAAAGAAAUGGAUUUUAUUUUCGGCACCUAUCUUCAAAGCAAGCAUUCUCUCAGUCUAAAACAAUCUGAUGACGCUGCUUCGUCAGGGGACAGAUUCAGAGAAUGCUGUGAACCUAAUUUUUCAAGAAUAGAAUUUGUAUGAAGUUGGAAGGGCAAAUAAAAAAAAAUCCUAAAUUAUGUAUAUAUAUAUUUUUAUAUUACAAAAAACUCUAAACUUAUCAAUCAUGACAAAAAUAUUCCAAAUUUUCUUUCGUGUCAUGAUAAAAUCCAAACUUAUAUAAUUAUGAAUAUAAAAUUCAGAAUUUUUAUAGAUUUUUAAUAACACAAAAAAACUUCGGAAUAUUUAUGUCAUUGCGAAUAUAGUUUAGGGUUUUUCUUAUGGUAUUAAUCUAAAUUUGAGUAAUGCCUAUGAGUAUUUAUCUUACUUUAUCUUGUUAUUAUAUACUUAAAGAAAGAAAAGUACCCGAAAAGCAUCAAUCGAUUUUUUGGCAACUGUGCUAGUACUGUAAAAACUUUUAGCCCUUAAAUUUUUGUGUUGGCAAGUUUGAUUUCAUGUAUCCUGUCAUCAGUGUUUAUGGAUCAUAGUGGUGUUUGUUUUAUAUUAUCUUUUAUCAUAAAAUACUCAGUUUCUCAGAGCUCUAUGUAGAUUGCCUUAGAACUAUGCCUGUUUGGAUUAAUCUGCUUAAAAGAGGCAAGUUUUUAUUUUUCAAAAGAAUUUGGAAAUGGAGGUAAAUUAAAAUUUAAAAUUUAUGAAUUACUUCCCUUUGAACAUAUAUUAGAUUAAUAUUGCAUAAAUAAAUUACUUCGUAGGAAAGUUAUCUUUCCUAUUCAGAUUUUGUUUCUCAAUAUAAUAUUUUAUAUCUGAAUAUUAUGUCGUGUAUUUAGAAUUCAUUUAUCAGCACGUUAUUUAAUACUUUUAAUUAUUUAAUACUGAUUUUAGGUUGAUAUUACCUCCAAUGAGAAUAUUAUUGUUAUGAAAGCAUUUAUAAUUAUCAAAGCAAAUAUCAAAGUAUAAAGAGCUGGCUAAUUGUUUUGGUCUACGCGAAAACUAAAUUGUUUUUAAGAAAGUCUUAUCAAAUGAAUACUUUACCUUUUUCCUUUUCUUUUUCUUCGUCGCCCAUCCUUUCCUUCCGACUCAACGCUGAGAACCUGAUAAAAUGAUCUACGUCACCGCACGCGAUGGAAGAUCUACACGUAAUCAAACACCACAUCCGACUGAAAAUUGCACUGAUCUAUGAAAGAAACGAUCUGUAUUACUAAGGAACCGCUAGUAAAUGCAGGGUCAAGGUUGGGGUUUUUCUCUCUACGCCUCUUCUCUCUAGGGUUACCUAGGGUUCGUCUCUGUGGAAGAUAGUACGCGAAUCCAUCAAGAAUAAAAGCAGGGAGAAAAGUGAGAGAGAGAGAGACGUCACUGGCAUGCUGUGAAACGGGUAUAAUUGGUAGAGGGACAGGAAGCUAUAGCUACUUCAACUCUUCUAUCAAUAAGCAAGAAGCUUUCUUUCUGAUCGAACUUUACGUCAUUUCCAUCAACAGUUUUCAUGAAAUCCAAUAAAGUUGAAGCUCCAAAAAGAAAUUUAGAAUAAUAAUAAUAAUAAUAAUAAUAAUAAUAAUAAUUAUAAUAAAGUUGGGUUCUGCGACUUCUUCUUUAUGACCCCCCCCCAUCAUGUCAAUCCCGCUCUUUAGUGGUACUUUUGCAUGGUUAAACUGGAUUACUUUAAUCUUUAGUUCAUCUGUUGUCAAUUUGUAAAGCUAAUCCACUUUUCUCAAUGGCGUCAGUUCUAGUUUGAAUAUGCGACGUAUAUGCAACAGUGGGUUUGGCCUCUUUUAUCUCAAAAAGAGGAAAACUUAGGCGGAUAAGGGUCCAUCCAAAAGGUGAUCUCUAAGUAAUAAUUAGUAUAAUGAUGAGUGUUCGUAGCAUAAUUAAACAGGGUUCGCAUCAAGCAACUUUAGUGAUUACAACGCUCCAAGUGUCCACCCUGGACUGGGGACAAAUGAAAAAGUAUAUUACAAAGAUAGAAGACUUGACAUCGUUAUAUAUAUAGAGAUGUGAUGUUAAUCUAAAUAUUGAGAGGCUUAUAAAUAUUUGUCAAACCUGAUAUGUCUGGCAUUGUUCUAUGUCCGAAUGACUGAUGAAAAGAACGAGGCCGGUAGUGGCAAUGGAAGAAUCUGCUAGGAAGGGUUGAUCAUGGGCAUCGACAUCAACAUCGACAUCAUAGAAAUAUCUAUAGUGAAAGAUCUUUCUUGCCUUUUGAAUUAUCUCAUCUCCCCUUUGCCUUGUUAAAAUGCCAUAGUUGCCAAAUUUAAACUUGCUAUGAGGAGUAUACGUAAUAUACUUGAGCUCACCCACUCGUGCAUAGAUUGAGCCUUACGCAAAAUACAUUGGGAUGUAACCACAUCAAAUUGAUAACUAGAUAUCAAAAGUUGAUAGGAUACAUACGCAUCCAUUCAUCGAUACAUUACUUAUAAACUAAGUAAUUGAGAAUACUUUGAGGAAGAAAAGGAGGAUUUCAAUCCCUUAAAAGUAGGAGGCUCUAUCUGCUUUAUAACACGGUUAAGCAUAUGUUACGUGCGUGUAUAAGAAUGGAUAAAUAUGUAAAAAUUAGAUAAACAAAGCUAAUGAGAGUCACUUUACAAAAAGAACUGGAUCGAUUAUUUCGUUAGUGGGGGAAGUGGUCGGUGGAUGAAAACUACAUGGGAUAACUUAUUGGGAUCCUUAAACUUGUUCGUUAACUUUUCUUAUUAUUUUAUGGAAGAAUAGUUUUGGAAAGUGUCAAAAGGGAAACAAAAUGGGCAUUUUGAAUUAAUGUAUAACAAUGUUGAGCUCCGCAUUAUGCACUUGUGCGAACAUGGAUGAGUUAUGUACAAAGAGAAUGAACUUAUUUUGUUAGAGUGAAUAUCUAAUGAGUAAUUGUAGCAUAUUCUAGCAUGCAAAAAAAUAAGGUUAUAGCAAGAAAAACCUAAAAUUGAUACACUUGCGACAAAUUUACUUUAAAGUAAUUUAAAAAAAAAAAAACUCAAACUGGUACACUAAUGACAAUUUUAUUAAGUUAUUGAGGUGGAUGACAUGUGAUAGUUGAUGAGUAUAUUAGUUUGGAGUUUUACUAUCCAUUUGUUAUAGGUGUAUUAAUUUGAGGUUUUACCAUCCAUUUAUCAUAGAUAUACUAGUUUGUAUUUUUUGUAGCAUUAAUCAAAUUUAAUGGAAAUCAACGGAGAUAAAUUUGUUACCAAUGUAUCAAUUUGGAUUUUUUUAUGGUAAAAAAAUCAGUUUGGGAUAAAUUUGUUAUAUGUGUAUUAAUUUAAGAUUUUUAGUAAUCAUAAAAUUAAUUUGAGGUAAAUUUAUGAUAGAUGUUUUGGCUAUUUUUUUUCCUCUCUCGGCACCCUUCCACUAGUUAUGGCUUUGUUGUCAUUUUUAGCGUAAGCUCAGUGCCGGGCCCCCUUUUGUAUAGUUUGGUUAAAACUCAAUAUAUUCUUACUUUAUCAAAAAAAAAAAAACAAAGAAAAAGCAUUUAACCAAGCAACUUUAUACACUAUUGUUUUGAGAAAGUUGAUAUGCUAGAGAAAACCGCUUUUUUAGAAUUAUCUUAACACUGACAGUGCAUGUUCUAUCUUUCCUUCUUUAAUAGUGUGGAUGUAAUAAUUAUCGGUAAUUAUCAAACACGUAUGAAUUAGGAGGUUACUUAGUGAAUAUAGAGAACAGUAACUAGCUUUGAUUUUUGUAUAUUUUGAUGCAAGCAUGAUAGUCGAACAUAUGAAGAACAAGACAAAGGGUUUUUUUUUUUUUUUUCACACACACACACACACACACAUAUAUAUAUAUAUAUUUAUCAUAAUAAGUUUUUUUGUAAGUAAAGCUUAUUAAUGCUAUGUACUGCUUGGACCCUUGGUGUUUGGUUACAUGAUAACCUUACUAGGGAACUUCGUUCUCAUGUUGGGGCCAUUCCACUUGUCUGGUAAUCCAAGUAGGUGAACGAGACUGUAUUUUUUAUUUUAACAUGUUAGGAUCCGUAUGCCCAACAUCUCCCAAGUCACCCCUAAGUUCCCCUCUGUAUUUUUGUCUUCUGCGAGGAGGAGGGAAUACCUUUUAUGUGUUUUACAUUCCAGAGUUCUCGAGGUCUAGAAUGAAUCGGGAUAAAGUCUUUUAGGGACUUACUCAUGUCCAAUUUAGAUAUAUUUAUCAUAAUAAAUUUUUUCCAAAGUAAAGCACAUCAAUGAUAGUCCAUGAAAGGUACAGAUGAAAUCGAAGGCCGAAAGGAAAUACAAAGUGGUCGGAGCUUUAACGACUAUUCAUAAUAAGUAGUACUAUCGCCCGUUCGACGCGCCCAAGCGGAGCGACCAUGACGAGAACUUUGAGAACAGGCUUUCUGCCAACCGUAGCACUUCCGAAGUGCUAUGCAAGAAUCACUUCCGAAGUGCGUAGAACGCCUGGCUCUAUUGUUGUUGGGCGAUAGAGUUGCCAGCAAAAGCGCACUGCCUUUAGCUUGAAGAGUCGAGCCUGCUUGGCUCUUGCGUUUGAUGGAGACGAGCAAACUCAGUGAAAGCGAGACUAACGCGGUUCUGGACUCGUCCAGAGUCUGCAACGUAAGGUGUCUGUCUUCGCAAGAAAGCCCCCAACCCACUUUGUCUACAUCGCUCGAGAAGAAUACACCGACUUGUUUGAUUCGCCGCACCAUCCAGACAAGUUACGAAAUCCCUCCAUUUAUGGUUGCAUUUGGCGUGAAGCUUUGUAUAAUGGAACGAUCGUGACCGCGUUAGAGAAGAUGAGCCACCUUCGGGCCACGGCUCGAGUCCUCAGAUGAGAUUACUCCAUACAUCCCAGAGAUUAGAGCAUCAACCGAUCAAACCCUUUUUCGGCGUUCCCAGGAAUGUGGCAGACAACUGUCAUGUUAGGACGAUGGUCAACCGUGAUUAAACAAGGCGUGGCAAGAAAAGUGGAAAAUAUUACCUGAUAAGCGAAACUAGAAGAUUCGAUUAAAGUCACUAACAGUAGCAAGCGAAUCACUUAAAGUAAAAAAGAUGGAUUUGGAACGAUCCCUCUUUGCCAGGCUGCAUUAUUCAAUCACGGUAGGUAGGAGAUGGUUAUCGAAUUAGAAAACCAGUUGGAGCGUAAGUUUAGAGAAAAAUGGUGAAUGAUUGGAGGACGAAAUUGAAAGGGACAGCGAGAUUAAAAGUCAGAAAAACUAUUAGCUUUUGUCAGACCGAUCUUCGGUUGAUUAUCAUUACAUUAUGAUGAUGAUGGUGAUGAUAAAUUGCUGCAAAGCUACAUGAUGUCAUUGACAGUUUGAAAAGCAAUAUGGAGGGCUGUUCAUUUGUGCUUUCUUUUGGGUUCAAGGAGGCAAUUACUUCUUUUAUUGGUGGGGUGGGAACAUGAUGGUGAUCAUUACAACAUGCAACUUCUAGGGUUUGUUUCCUUGUUUUGUAUUUUUUUUUUUUUUUGAAAGUGGGGGGGCCACUCCUUUUUUGAGGGUAGUUCCAUUUGACUAAUCUAAUACCCUUAAUUAUAAUGAUAAGAGCUUUCUCAUGUAGUAAAGGGUUAAUCACCCAGGUGGGGGUGGGAUUGUCAUGUGUAAAUUAGAUAGUUACCCUUUACGUAAUAUAACUUCGAAGACACUUUCUAAGCAAACGAUAAUGAGAAUUUUGUAGUUUUCAAAGCACCAAUUAUUCUUGUAUUAUACACGAUCAAUGCUUCAGAUUAGAUUAUUCAAAAUAAGGUAAAUGUGUUGGCGGCACUCCUUGGCAGGUUCCAGUAGCAAUUUAGAGAUGUUGAGAAACUAAUCCAAACUUCUCUCUUCGUGUCUUACUUGAAGAAGUGUUGUCAUUUUGAGAAGAUAUAUGAUCAUCAACUUGAGUUAAAAUGAUUGAAUGACCAACAGAAGAUAAAAACAAGUAACGGCAAUCAUUUAAUUCAAAUUGGACGAUAACUUUCCUAACAUGAUAGAACCACGAAAAUAUUAAGCACCAUAUUUUGCGUCAAGUUUAAUUUUUUGGAGUUAGCAUUAAACCUGCUCAACAGGUGAGCUUGGAUGGGCUCGGGCACCAAUUUUUGUAUGUCUCGAAUUAGAACAAAUUACUAGAAUUCAUCCCCUUCGACGGAUCAGUCGACAUUUUCACAAAUUUGAUAAAUGGAGGCCUUUAUUUUCAUAGUUGUUGUUCCUUAACUUAAUUUUGAUUCUAUUUACAGAAAGAAAAUGAGUUUCUUGAAAUGUUGAACCUCAAAUUAUAUCCCAUGAAGGGGAUGUUGAAGUUGAAAAAAAUCAUCUACUCAUUCGAAUCCUUGUUGUGGCAUCUAUAAAUUAUACACCCACACUCGCCCAACGGAAUAGUGGCCCGCCUAAUAGGCCACCUUUUUAUAUUUUAUUUAAAAAAAAAUCAGCUUAGAAAUGGGUAAAUAUGGAAGUCAGAUGAAAAUAAUCAUUACUACUUUACCUAUAAGUUCUACACUAUUUCUCUACAUAUUAGAAAUUUUGACUUAUUUUAUCCUAUUGGCGUUCAUAAAUUUUAAAUAUCAAGGUUGAAUUAUCGAGAGCAUGUGAUUACUUAUUUUUCAAAUAAACAUAUGAGCAGGCCUAAAAAUCCAUCCGAGCCCGCCUGUUGAGGAGGUAUAUAGUAUAUUGGACCCUACGUACUCUAAUUGACUUCAUUGUGAUGUUUCGAUUACUUAUCAAAAGAUAUGAUUGAUGACAAAACGAAUUGAUUCAAAUUCUACCAUGUAAAAAUAGAGUAUCCAUAAUCCAUUUCUAUUUUCUUCUCCUUUGCACUUCUCUUCCCUCUUAUCUUUCUCAUAUGUUACUAUUUAUCUCACAUGACUUGUUUACCGAACUUUACACGUUGAUCUUACCCUAUUAUCUAGGGCAAAACUUAUGUACGAACACUCUUACUAUACAUACAAAAGAGAAAACAUGAAUAUAAACUUAGCCCAAUCUUGGGAUGACACUUGUCUACCCGUGUUAUGUUUAGAGUUCAUAAUCUAUAUACCCAUGUUAUCCCUCAUUCGACUUGUCACCAUGUUUAUCUCUUCCAUCAAUAAUGAUCCUACAAUAAACACACUCUACAAUUUGCUGGACCAUGGUAAUGAUCCUAUUCCUAGGAGUGACUUCAACUUGGUUAACUUUACACUCCUCCAUUGUCCCCUAGCAACGAAUAUUUCAAGAUGGUGGGGCUUAGGGUUUUAUACUUUUUUUCCCCAUUGGGUUGUCUUUGCACCACAUAAAUGAAAGAAAGCAACACCUAACUAUAUAUUCCAUCAAAUCAAAGAAAAAAAAUUCUUAUAUAUUCCUCUAGCAAAUUAUAGAAUUUCUGCCCCCUCGAAUUCUUUCACCAAAACAUGACACCACUAUCACUAAGCGAUAGACAAGAAUUGAUGUUUGUCGAUACACUUUGAUCGCAAUUCUCUUUCUUUUGACAAAUAAAAGGAGAGCUUUGCUUUUCUGCAUGAGAUGAGAGCUUAUCUUCUAUGCCAUUAGUAGCAAUUUGCACUGUUCUCUCCACACGAUUCCCUCAUUGACUUUGUCGAUUGUUCACCGAGAAAAGAAGGAACUGAACUAUUGGUAAAGCCGAGAAAUCAUUAUUUAGAGCAGGAUUAUACAAAGACGGAUUGAUACGUGGGACAAAGACGACAACACGUAACAUCCCUAGUAGAAAGACGUGGUGUGAUAAGGAUAGAUUUUUCUUGAUUGGGUAGUUAGAUAAACCUUACUAUCUACAUAUGGACUUGAUUGUUAUAAAAGAAACAAGACAACUUGUCAAACAACAUAUUGACCACCGGGUUUAAACUUGCUAUUUGUCAACUGCUCACAAAGCCAAAACAUGUAACCCUAAUUUAGACAUAUUGAUCAAACAAGAAGAAAACAUACUACGUAUGUAUGUGUGUGUAUAUAUAUAUGAACAUGUAUGUUCAUAACUUUUUCUUGGGGGUAAAAACGUAAAGGGGGCUUGUGGGAUGCACAUGGAUAGUCCUCUGGGGGGUUCCAAUUUGUCGAAUUUUGAUGCUUUUCUUUGGCCGACAAUAUCUCGCUUUUCAUUGCCCAAUCCAUGCCACCGCAAAUGGAGAUCCACUGUUGCAAGGCGUGACUUGUCGCCAGAAUUUAUCUCUCGACAUGUUCGACGGUGUCGCUCUCUCUCUCUACUCUCUCUCUCUACUCUCUAGGGUUUCUCUGUAUGGGUGAUAUUAUCCUCGCCAACUUGCAUGUGUUGACCUUUCGUGGAAGAUGAUCAAUUAUGGUUGUAGAACCUGACAUUUCAGGCAAGAGAAGUUUCAACGCGAGCAUUUAAUGCGCUUUAAAAAGGCAAGGAAGAAAAGCGACAUAGCAAGCUGCUUCGUCAACAACGCCGUUGCAUGAUAUAUAAUCUCCUGCCAUCUUGAUUCGAUUAUAAGCUUACUAGUCAUUGCGCAUGGCUGUUUGAACAAGCUACUGCAUGAAUCUUAAUCCAUCCUUCUUUUUCUUUAUCCUUUAGCUCGAUGUCAUUUUCUGGAACGUGGUUGAAAACUACAUAAAAUCAAGGAGCAAGCCCCGUUUGAUUAUCUUUCUAGCCUUCAUGCCAUUGGGUUCUUUAACUUUCUUUAUUGCUUUAAAGAAGCUAAUGAUUGAGAAAUGAUAAUCAUCAUGAGUCCCCAUUAAGUAUGAUGAUCAUUCGACUUGAAUGACCCAUGUAAGGUCAAUAUAACUUAAGUAACUUGAUAAUUGUAGACAAUUUUCUUAAAGACAAACAUUGAAUUUUGGCUCGAGUGUCUUGAAGGGAUCAAGAUCAACUCGUUCACCAAUUGGCGAGUAUAAUCGCAAAACAGAGUUUGAGGGCCGUUAUUGUUAAAAUGAUUCAGGCUCAAAAGCCUUCUGCACCAAAGCACGAGAAAUUAAAAUUCUGAAUUUUAAAGCUCAAUCCAUCAUUCAAAGGAGUUACUGGGCCAUUCUCAAAUCGAAGCACCAAAGUGAAGAAAGAUAAUAGUACGAGGAAUAAACCGAAGAAAGUAGAAAUAUGAGAACCGAGAUGCGUUUCAGCCAGGUUGGAACUAUUCUUGCCAAAAACAAGUGACCUACUUCUCAUCCUAGGAGUGAGCAGGUAUGAUAGAGUCCCCCUCUGUCUGUCUCUCCGAGUUUCUACUACUAAGUAGGAAAGAUGGUAAUAGAAGAACCUUUUAGUCCACUGGGAUAAUCUUACGUUGGUUACGUUGUACUCUAGUCUUUCUGGGCCAAUCAAUCCUUCCCUUCUUUCCCCAAAGUUCGUGUUUCGGAGUUCUUUCGAAUCAGCAGGGCAGUAAGUAGGUUAAUUACUAGUACCUGCUCUUUGUCCCGAUUGAGCGGAGUAAGGAGAAAGUGGGGCCUGUACCAAUGUUUUAACUGCUAUAUCUGUCCCAUUUAUUAAUGCUUAAUAAGAUUGAGAACCAGCAGGUGGGGAUUUUCAUUUUGAUCGUGUAUUUGUCCUAUAAGAGGAGGUCGUCUUAGAUCAGAAUAUAACUGGUUUGAAUCCGUAGAAAGAACUCAAAACUCAAUCAAAAACAGAAAGAAGGGAAGCAGAAGGGGGAAGGUCUGAGAAAGUCAGUGAUUCCCGGGUCCGCAGCUGGGGAAGAAGCCGAAGGUGCGAGAAGAGCACCAAAAGGCCAGGGGGAUGCACCAUUAUCCGGGGCAUGGUCUCAUUAGCUCUAUUACAAAACUUGCUUUUUCGGCAAACCAUAUAUCAUACUCGGAAGGAGCGGUACUUUCGAGCCCAAAUUUCAAAACAGAGAAAGCUAAUCAAGUCAAACCAAAGACGCAAGGGUGAGCCUCAAUGUAUUUAAGCCUGCCAAGAAAGGAUCUAGUAUGGUAUAACUCCGGUCCAUGUAAUCGCACUCCGUUUUAGCUAUCAGAUCAUGUGGACUCAAGCGAAGCCCCGCCAAUUGGUCGUUGAGACGGAGUUGGCUCUCAUACCCCGGGUGCAUAAUCAAACAUCCGAACAUCCACACUCAAGCAAAUGAAAACAAAAUAUCAAACGAACUUAAGGAGACUAAAGUUCUGAGCAUUAUCACAAUAUCUUCUCAUUUAGAAUGGAACAUUUCCUGAAAUUUACAGUGACAAACAUUUAUCGGAGAAAAACCAGGGAUGAUUUUUUUCUUUGAAAAUAAAAACCAUGAACCCAGUCCAUUGUGUUGAUGAAUGAUGCCUCAUCCGAUAAAUUUACAUUGCCACUGGAUCGACAAUGAAAACUCUUGCUUGAGCAGUCAGAUCUCAUUAUCUCUUCGACUUCUUGGACUUCUUCCCAUUCUUGUUACCCAGGUAUUUUUCAAUUUCUUCCUCACCUUCAUCUCCUCCUGCCUUUCUUCUCUUCCUGCCACCACUUUCUUUCAUUUUCUGCAAAGUCCAAGAACUGUAAACUCAGCAUCAUCUCUAUCUAAAAGGACACGCCAUGGAGGCUUCACUUGAUAUUUAACUCUGCGGGAUUGACCAAAAAUUGCCCAAACCACUGCUGUAUACUUAAAAAUGCUAAUCAUCACUAUGUAAUUUCGGGUAUUGUUUUACCACAACAUAGAAAAGCUGCCCAGUCAUUGCAUAUAAACAGAAUUGAGGGUCUAGGCCUCUUGGAGCAUCUGCUCACGCCAUCAGAUCACAACAAUAUCCCUCUCCCCCCAUUUUACUGCAGCUGGGCAAUUACUAUGGCAAUAGGCUCCUAGGGUGGACCAAGAAAGUUUCCCUCGUUGACAAUCAAGCCCAUCAACAUGUUUCCUAAGGCUUCGUUUUGUGUUGUGUCUUACUCAGCUUAACCCUGGUUUAAAUUGGACAUGAAUACUUCACUAAAGCAUUGAUGUGCAUUUCAGUUGAAUAUAUGUCCUAGCAACCACACACAUGCACACGCGCACAGAGAUAUAUAGGGACGAAGCAAUACCAUCUGUGAUAUUCUUUUGGCCUCAGUAACACGUUCCAGCAAUAGCAAUACUUCCUCCUCUUGAGCAGGGAACUCGGGUAGCUUUUUACCUGAUGUAAAUCUUUCGAUUAGUCUAACGAAAAGCCAUAAAACUGUAAAGCUUUUCUAGACAUAAAAGUAUAUCUUCCUCACCAAUCAGCUUUUCUAUUUGUAUAUACCACUCCAACUCGUACUGGUUCACCAGUGAGAUAGCAACACCAGAUCGUCCUGCUCGAGCAGUUCUUCCCACUCGAUGUAUAUAAUCCUACCAUAAAAAGUUGAAUCAGAAAAGCACAGAUAAUUGAGAGAAUGCAACUGUGAUCCACUUUACCCCAUCAGCCAAUGCCAAAACAAAAUAUCCCAGGUCCACAAAGCUAGACAUAAACGAGUUAUGUGCGUUUCGUCCCCGGGGCCAGGGUAUCAUGCCAUUUACGGUUAAAGAUGGUGUCCUGGAAAGCCAGCUAGCUAAUCAAGCCUAGAUCGGACCUCUGGGUAUUGGCUGCCAAAGCUGCAGAUGCUCGGAUUUAUGCUACAUUAGUAUACUUUAUUAUAACUUUGCUUCUCUAACUGGGUUUAGUAUUUGUGGCUAUGAAAAGCAAUACCCAGAGAAGAAAAUUUGUCCAUCUAGUCCAGGUGGCACGAAAAAGAAUGGGCUAAGUAGGUCUACAAAAACUAAACAUCUAAAACCACCAAAAGUAGUGCAGAGCCUUACCUUAGAAGAUGAUGGGAUGUCAUAAUUGAUAACCAUGUCCACUGCCGGAAUAUCGAGUCCUCUACUUGCAACAUCAGUGCAGAUCAAAAUAUUGCAUUCUCGUGCUUUAAACUUAUUCAAAGCUCCAAGCCUCUUGGACUGCCAUGAAAAAUUGGAUGACCAAAGAUCAGCACAUACCUUCCAAAUGUGAGCUGAUAAAAAUGUGCUCACAGAGAGAGAGAGAGAGAGAGAGAGAGAGAGAGAGAGAGAGAGAUUAUGCCUGGUUCAUUUGACCACUGAUUGGAAUUGCCCUUAGUCCGAGAUUUCGAAGAAUUAAGGACAAAACUUGAGUUGAAUCACAUGUUCGAGUGAAAACCAUUGUCGUACUUUCAGCCAUCACAGUGAGAAUAUAAACAAGAUAGCAAUCCUGUACAAUAGCAAACAAAAUGUUUGACUAAGAGGAAUCAAAUCAACAGAACAGAGAAAACCUACUUCAACAGUUUCAAUAUAAAGUACCAACAAUGUCUUGAAGUGAUAAAUACAAUUAACCUAGAAUGUUACUCCACAUAAUAGAAUUAGAGCCAGAUCUUUAUUUUUCUAAAGUUUCCUCAGUGCCCCAACAUAACUGCAACUACAACCACAACAAAAAUGAACAAAGCCUUUUCCCAGUAAGUGGGUUGGCCACAUUAAUCACAUUCUUUCCUAUGUCAUGUCCCUCAUGAUAUACAAGCAGUGCAUCUUUCUUGAAGAAUUCAUCCACGUUUUUUAUGAUGUUUGGCACAUUCUCACAAUAUAACAUAUGCAGAUAUUGGAUGCACCAUCAGGGCUAGCUUCAUUGUGUACACAAGCAGUAGAAAGGGUGGCAGGCAGGCUCAGUAAACAUCUCACGCAAAUAGGCCCACAGUUGAAAGGACAAUACCUUGUACUUGGCAGGAACAAAGCGAUACUGCUGCUUCAGUGUAUCAACAGUGGAAUAUUUAGAUGCAGCUUCAAUCUGAAAGUAAAAAGAGAUUUGCACAAGUGCAGGAUUAGAAUACUGCAAUAAUAGAAUCUAGAUGAUAAUUAUACAGAUUUUAAUGAUAUUGGAAUUGCUAACGAUACCUUCACAGGGUUCCUCAAACAGGCCCUCUGUAGCUUCUUAACCUGAAAAUUAAAAGCAUAUAUAAGAUGAUAUUCCAAGCAGGUCCAUCAAGCUGUUAUCUUCUAGACUAAAAGAACUGAAAUUCUCUUUUGAAUAGGCACCAAAAGGAUAUCCAACCAUCACAUCAGCAACUUUUAAUCAUACUAAGUAGAAGUUGCGAUGGCUUGGUUGAGAAAGACUAACACGCCAACAGCAUUAAAGAACUUUGAAAGUAACGAUCACGGUAUUUUGCCUAACUCUAUGACCUACUUAAGUCCCCAUUACUGUCACUCGAGCCAAGAUAAGUGUGUAAUAAAACAGAAAAGAAAAAGAAAAGGUUAAAUCUGUCUCAGAGCAAAGAAAAAGGUAAAUUUCUUACUAAGGGUGUUUUAAAAGAAACUCAAUGCCCAAAGUUCCUUCAACAAAAAUCUAAGGAGAUUGGAAAGAUUCAUGCCAUGGCAAUGUUAUUUGAACUACUUCUUUUAAUGAUAAAACAAAUAUCCCUAUUAAAUGGCACCACGGAAUUGCCAAGCCUAUGUACUUCACAACAUCUUUACCUUUUUCGUCAUAGUGGCAGAAAAUAGAUAUGUCCUCCUUUCACGUGGUAUAGCAUUCAGAAUUUCAUCAAUGGACUUCUCAAAAUCCUCAUUUAGCAACCUGUCAGCCUCAUCUAGUACCUGUUUGAAGAGCAGAUGUUGCAUCACUGUCAGCAUCAGCAUUACAAGUAGUAAUCAUGUUGCAGUCUAGAAUGACUCCAAAUCACCAGGGACUGUAAAUGCUUGUCAAGUUAGAAUAAGAACUCAAAACUCGCCUCGCCUCCUCAAGGAUUUCUGAUUAGAAGUUUGUGUAAGGGUCUAGGUACACCCUAAAUAUUAAAUGCAAUUUGCUUCUAAAGUAGUCCAUACAUACCAUGGUCACCUCAAACCACUAGACUUAUAAUUUCUACCAACAUACUGCCUUUAAUAAGUUCUCUCUAAUGAUCACAUCCAAUCUCUCCGCAACAGUGCACUAGGCACAAUGUUAUAUGAUUUCUUAGAAGCGUGAAGCGUGAAAUAUAGCCUAGUCUAAAUUUUGAACCAGAGAAAAGCUCAGGCAGAAUUUUUUAAUCUUUGACUUAGUAUGAAUAAAUUGAUGGAACAUUUUCCCGCAAGCAUCAAACAUACAGAAUGUUAUAAACCACAUCAUAAACUUUUUUGCAUGGCCCACGCUGUACAAAUUGCCUACCAAAUAUUUCAACAUGCGAAGAGAAAAGCCUUUGGUGUUGGACAAGUGAUCGAGAAGACGUCCCGGCGUUCCCACCUGUCCAAGAAAAGAUAUAAAAAGAUAAUAAGUAUUAACAGAAGACUUAAUAGAUGUAUCGUGAUAAAUUUACCGAACAGCAUGCCAGUAUAGUGACUGCACAAGAAACUAAGAUAAAAGGCAAUUAUUGAUGGAAUAUAGCACUCACUAAGCAAAUAGAUGAUGCAUCUUAGAAGAGAUUACCAUACAAACACCUAGGUACGAUACCUCAACAUUUAAUAAUAUGCCCAAAGGCAUCAAGCAAGAUUUUGAAACCGUCUACUGAACCUUUGGAUGAGCUUAGAAUUUCAGCUUUUGAAGUUAAGCUCAAUUAACAUGCAAAUAACAGCAAAUGGUUGAUAUAUACUGGAAGGAAGGGAAGAGCCAAUCUGAGAUGGUUUAUGUCCACUAGUUCAGUUAAGUAUCCCCAAAUAUGAAACACAAAUCAAGCAGUCUACUGAAACAGAUACUUGAGAGAUGAUGUUUUAAUCAGCGGUACUUACAACAACAUGAGGCCGCUUUGCGAGGGCAAUUGCCUGUUGCACCAUGUCAACUCCACCAACAAGCUGCAAAAGGAAGCAGCAACAAGAAAAUAUUCUUCUCACUCAUGUGCAAAUGCAAAAUUGCAGUCUGGAACUUUCAUCAAACAGCUGCCGAACACAUCCCCCCAAGACAAAAGAACAAAAAGAAAACUACUAGCAUAAUUGCUUGAAGACACGCAAAGUUCAAUCACAAACUGAAUCUACUUCAAUCUACUUCUGACAGUGGAGCUCACAGAUGCUGAAAUCAAGAAAUAUUUCAAAUGAGGGGAUAAAACACACUAGAUGCAAAUUGGUUCACUAUUAUGUUCUGUUAUUCACAUUACACUUUUAAAAGGAGACUUUUAUUUUCUAAAAGAAUAUAAUGUUUUCACAAAUACCAAAAGAUGCAGAUUUGGGCAGCCCACGCACACAUUGACAAAACCGAUUAAUUGCAAUAAGUGAAAGUUCACUGAUUCAUGUGAAAGUUCACCGAUAUGAAUCAGACAAAAAAUGCAGAGCAAGUACAUGUGAAAGGGCCCGUCUAUUCCACUAUCAAAAGGUUUGUACCAGCAGCAAGGAAACUUUUCCAAAUAAACAGGAAUGGGGAUCUUAAUUACAAACACCACAGUAUGCUUGAAAUGUUAUUACUUAGCCAAAAGCUUACCACAGCACAUCUGACUCCGAUGCCAGAUCCUAAAGCUUCAAAUUGUUCAGCAAUCUGGAUUGCUAGUUCCCUAGAAAAUAUAAUGGCGCAUUAUCCACUAAUUACAGAAAGACACGCCACAGUAUCAGCUUGUCGCCAAAUAAAGUGAAGUAACUCCAACCUUGUAGGAGAGAGCACACAAGCAAAGAAGGCUUGCGGAGAGUCCAAUAGAGCUUGCAGUAUAGGAAGAGCAAACGCCCCGGUUUUGCCAGACCCUGUCUGUGCAAGACCGAUCAUAUCUUUUCCUAUGGAACAAAAGACAGAGAAGCAAGGCAAAUCAAUUCGCGUAUAGCAUCUAUAUCUCAUCAGAGUAACUUAAGUCUAGUUAACACUGAUAGCCAGAAAACGCAAUAGAGACGCGUCAAUAAGGAGCCAUUAAACCAGACAAAUAUUUUACAAUGCAUCUGCCUUCACUAGUGUAACGACAUGUUCAAAGAUUUCAUGCUCUGAACUAGCUACAAUCUACCAAAAAUACGCGAACCAACCACCUUUAAGUGCACAAUCCACUCGAUAUCAUCAUUCAAGUUUUCACGCAGCAUAAAGAAUCUAAACAAAGUUCGGUCCUUUCAAGAAAAAUUAAGCAGAAUUCUACAUAAGUAUCGAGCUCAUCGCUUGAGCGGAACAAAGAUUGAACUGAUUCGAUAAUCUCGCAUUCUCGCUCGCUUUCUAGCCUCGAGGCGACCGACCAAUCGACAUGACACGACACGACACGACCCGACCAUCGACACGACACGGCUCGCCCUAUCGAAAACGAUCCCCAAAAUCGAAUAUUGACGAAGAAGAGGCACCUUCGAGAGCAUGAGGCAUGGCUUCCACUUGGAUCUUCGUCGGGUUCUUCCACCCCAGGGUCUCGCAAGCCUCCAGCAGCUGCUCGCAUAUGCCCAGCUCCUUGAACGUCUUCACCUCUUCCUUCUCCUCCGCCAUGCUACCGCUCCUUAACGAGGCUUCUCAAUUCACUUCUGGCUAGCGAUCAAUGGCGGUCCGGCGGCGGCGAGACGACGGCCGGAGCUGGCGGCGCGUGGAGCGGAGCGGGGGCGGGGGCGGGGGCGGAGGGCGCGCGGCGUCUCGAGGUUUUUAGGGUUUUUGCGUUUGCCGUUUGGCGGUUUACUCUUCAAGCAACGACAUGUUUAAGAUAGAGAUGCUCGGGUUUGAUAUUGGGCCAUUUCGGGCUUGAUAUUGGGCCAUUUCGGGCUUGUCCAAGCCCGCCUAGCAUAGUCCUUGUCGUGCUUGACGGGCCCGCCUAGCAUAGUCCUUGUCGUGCUUGACGGGCUCCUUCCGGGACGCGAUCGGGGCCGUCCGUGGCAAGCCAACCAUCCGACGGCCCGUGUUCGUUUGCCCCCUCGGUGGGCGUCGCUACGCUAGAGAUCCUCGAAUGAUGCCUAUAUGGAAAAUUCAAAUACUAAUAAAUAUUUUUAAAUCAUUCAUUGAUGAUAAAAGAAAAAGAUAUUCUUUCCUCUUGUAGAGCAUAAAAAAUUAAUAUGCGCCUUGUUUGUGAGGAAAUGUGUCUUAUGCAAGGGAGGUAGUGUUGACGAGGUAUCACCGAGUCAAUCAUGUCUCUCUAUGGUCAGAGUUGGUGACCUCGGGUGACCUUGAUAAGGACAACCCGAGUGAGUGACAGCCCCAUUGCCCCCUCCAUUGGGCUAGCAAAUCAUUGCCCUCUCUUCCUUGAGCUCUACAUCUCAAGAUCUCUCCAUCUCGAACUUAGCUGCGCUCGACUCCAUCAAUUAGGGCUCCAAACUGAGCACGAGCGUUGGGCAAACCUUUAUUGGAGUCGCAUGGCCAUUAAUGAGCUAGAUCUGGAAAAAAAUAAAUAAAUAGAGAUCUCGGCAAGGCGAGCCAAGCAACAUUUAUAGCCCGGCAUCCCUCACCUCCUCCGCAAAUUUAUAGCGACGGUUUCAUAGUGUCAUAGAUAGAUGAACAAUGAAGGGUAAGAUCAGUGAUGCCAAAGUUGGGACCCUAAAAUAGCAUUUCGGGAAUAAUGUAUGCAAAUGCUAAAUGGUAGUUACAUUGGGUUAAAGGGUUUUAGAAAUGCUAAACCUCGGCUCGAGCGCUCUUAAUAUCGAGUCACGAAACACUCUAGCACUAGCACUGGCUCGAGCACUCCAAGCACUAUAUCAACCUUAAUAAAGGUUAAUGUAGUCCAGGAAACUUGGUCACUUACCUUUUUUGCCCACUUAUUAAGGUAAAUCACGCGCCUGCGAGACGCCUCCCUAGUCUCUCUCAUCGAUCGGGUAAGUCCCGAUCGCAACUUUUCAAAAGGGGAUCAUUUGCAGCGUUCUUAAAAGUGUGGAUGUCAUUUCCUUUUCCAUCUCCCCUCCCCACCAAAAGCGUUAUUCCAACUCGAGGCACGGGAAGCUGUGUCAACAUCCAUCAGCGUCCAUGCCCGUAUUGGCCGACGUGCAAACCUACCUCCAUUUAAUGAGCGCCAGAGAGAGAGCUCCGGAUGCGCAUUCAAAUUCCAGCCUCUUUCUCUGCGGGAAUCACCCGCCUUUUCCUCUCUUCCUUCCUUGAGGUUUUUACUGUAGUUGACCCCAGGAAAAGGCACUUAAAUGAUUCCUUCCCCGAAAGCACGCCCCAUCCACUUCCCACUGCUCGCGCCCGGCCCUUCUGACAUCCUUGGACCGAAAGAAAUUUCACAAUAGAGGCGCCGCAUUUGUUGUUAUUUGCUAACCCGUAUUUCUCCCCUUUCUCCUUUUAUUAUAAGGGAAAAAGCAUAAAAAACCAAAACUUAAAUUUUGUCAACUGCAACAUAUUUAUCCUAAUCUUUUUUGUAAUACAAUAAAUCCCCAACUAAUACCUGUGUAACCUAUUUACUUUAAAUUUUUUUGUGACACUAAAAAUUCUAAAUUAUAUUUGUGUAAUACAUUUACUUCACAAAAUUUUCUAUAUUUAUGAUUUUGGAAUAAAUAUAUCAUAUUGUACAGGUUUGGAAUAGAUAGGGUACAAGUUUGAGAUUUUUAGUGUUACAAAAAAAAAAGAUUUGAAGUAAAUGGACAAGUUUAUAAUUUUUCUAUGUUUAAGAUUUUUAAUGUUACCAAAAAAAAUUUAGAGUAAAUAUAUUAUAUUAUACAGGUUUGGAAUAGAUGUAGGGUACAAGUUAAUAAUUUUUGGUGUCACAAAAAGAAUGUUUAAAGUAAAUAUAUCAAUAAAGUUUGGAAUUAUUGGUAGCUUUUAUUUUUAUUAUAAAACACCCAAUAAAAACUAUGCCUUUUUGGAUGGGUUAUGAAAAAGUUAUCUUCACUUGUGGCGUAACCCAAGGCGAGAUGGACAAGCCCUUUUUUAUUCUAAAUUGUUUAAUCUCUUUGAGGUUUUCAUUCACCAUGUGGAAUUGUCAAAAAGGGGGUCUUGAUUAAAAAAACAGACAUUGGUCUCGAGAUUGUCGAUUGAACGAACUUGGACCACACUUUUGAAUUUCGAUUUCAAGUCAAGAUCGAAUGCACCGACUUGCUACCGCGAAUCGAGUUUGAAUCGUGCUCGGAUUUGGGGGGUGAGAAUUGCCGCCCAAAACCGGUGUCGUCGCUCCAUGCUUGGAAAAGGAGAACAGUAAUUUCUCCAAAAAGUUGGAUCGAGAAAAAGAAAAUUUCUCCAAAAAGUUAAAAGGAAGAAUAAAAAGGACGGAAGAGCAGCACUCGAGCUCAGCGAACGGACGGCAACCGAGACAAGCGUGCGCUGACUGAGAGCCACUGAAAAUGGGACGGGAAUUUUCUCGUGGAUAAAUAACGCACAAAAUAAAAAAGGAAUUCAAAAAAGAAUAAAUAAUGAAUCUUAAAUAUAAAAAAAAGGAGAUAUUUUAUUAAAUCAUUUUUCUGAUAAAUUGCACCUGAAGUAAAGCUACUGCUGGACCCUCGUGCGACGAAAUGCCCUUUAUCUUUCGCAUGCGUGGGAGAGAAAGCACGUCUCAUUCACGCCAAUCGAAUUUCACCCUUUUUCCUUUCCUUUUCUAUUAUCUUUUUUCCAAUUAAAAUUCCCAAUUUUGUUUGAAAUUUUCUUUGAUUCUACAAAGAAAAUCGAGAUAAAUCUAAAUAUCGAGGUUAAUGGGUUCGCGAGAAAUCCCUUUUGAAAUCGACAGAAGUGCUUCAUGGGUGCGAGAUUCCAAAUUUUCUUGCCAAUUCCAUUAAUUCCUUGAAUUUAGGUGGAAUUUUCUUUUGUCACAGAAUAAAGAAAUCGAGAAAAAAGGACAGCUACAAACAGACAAGAAACAGAGGAACAAUCGAAAAGCAGACACAAGCAAAAGGCAGCAAGCUUUUUUCAUGGUUAAUUAUACACCAAAAUAUAACAAUAUAUAACUUAGAUUUCGCUCUUUAUACAAAAAUAUUAAAUAAUAGACGCAAACAAAUCACGAAAGGGGAAAAAAAAUUAAAGCUCGGUCUAGAAAAUAUGCUGUUAAUUAGUGCACCUUUUUGGUAAAAAGGCUCCGGAGGUUGAAAAUAUUAGUACUACCCCCGCCGCUGCCACCACCACCGCCGGCGCCGGCGCCAUCGCCGCCGCUGCUGUUGGUGUCGCCGCAGUCGGCUCCGGUCACCCGGAUUGUGCCAUUGUCGUCGCUUCUGCAGCUCAAAUGGUGCCUGUACCCGAUGCACAUCGGCACGUUCAAAUUCAACACCCUAGCCUUGCUUGCUCCGCCGCCGGCGCCGCCCCUCGCCGCCUUGCUCCGGCGGGUCUCGGCCGCCGCGGCUUCGGAUUUGAGGACGACCUUAUCGACGCCGCGGGCCGCGGGGUCGGAGGAGGCGGCGGCGGCGGCAGGGACGGGGGCCUUGGCCGGCGGGGCCCCACGGCGCACCUGCCAGACCGGGCUGCUCCGGCCCAAAUGCACCCCGACCCGGCCCGGGCUGCUCGGCCACUUCCGGGACUUGGAAUCCCCCGCCGAGUUGCUCCGCGAGCACGGCGCGCUGCUCACCUUCCGGGCGUUCGGGCCGCCGAACGCCGCCAAUCUGGGCCGGGCGCCGCCGUUCCCGGAGGAUCUGCCUCGCGAGAGGCCACAGUGAUGUUCAGCUCGUGGGGCCGAGCCCGAACCGCCUCGGCCGUGCUCUCUGUCAUCUUCUCCUCCCUGUCAUAUCAGCUGCAGCGGCGGCUUCUCUCCUUGGUGGUUGGUGGACUUCUUCUCGCUCCUCUGAAGAUGUCCCCUCCACCGCUUCGAGGCGGUGGCAGCGAAGACGACGACGCCGGGGUCAGCUGGGGCCCCGGUUCCGGAUCCCGGUCGGGGGCGUUGCGAAGGCCCGCCUCGGGAGCGGGAGGCUCGGACAUGCGGGGCCGGUUUCGGGCUCGGGGGCGGGGUCGGGCGGGUCGGGCUGGUGGAGGUGGAGGAGGUGGAGGGGGAGGAGGACGCCGUCGACGAAGAGCUCGUCGGCGGAGAGGAUCUCCGGCUGGGGGAAGAUGGGGUUCCGGACCAUCCAGAACUCGAACUCCGGCGAGUUGGAGGCGCUGCUGCUCCGCCGUCCGCUGCCGCAAGGAGACAGAGUCUGCGGUGGCUGUGGGUGGUGGUGGUGGUGGUGGUGGGGUUCUUGUGCGGAUAUUGUUGGGCUCUCCAUUUCCAUAAUUCGCAGAGAGAGAGAGAGAGAGAGAGAGAGAGGGGAGAGAGGGAGAGGUUUUUGUAGUUUCGUUGGGAAUGGAGUUUGGG